AUUGUAUUAGUUUAAUUAAAAUUUUAUUAUGUGAAAAUAAAGAUCUUAUGUGAUA
rnacentral:tRNA from 1 species